rnacentral:tRNA from 1 species
GCCCCCGUAGCUCAGUGGAUAGAGCACCGGUUUCCGGAACCGGGUGUCGCAGGUUCGAUUCCUGCCGGGGGUG